rnacentral:rRNA from 1 species
ACGAACGCUGGCGGCGCGUCUUAAACAUGCCAGUCGAACGGCAGGAAGGGGCUUGCCCCUUCUGAGAGUGGCGGACUGGUGAGUAACACGUGGGUGACAUACCUUUUAGUUGGGGAUAGCUAUUAGAAAUAGUAGGUAAUACCGAAUGUGACCGUACCUGUUAGAGGGGUACGAGGAAAGGAGCUAAGGCUUCGCUAAAAGAAUGGCUCGCGGCCCAUUAUGCUCGUUGGUGAGGUAACGGCCCACCAAGGCGAUGAUGGGUAUCCGGCCUGAGAGGGUGAACGGACACAUUGGGACUGAGAUACGGCCCAGACUUCUACGGGAGGCAGCAGUUAAGAAUAUUCCGCAAUGGACGAAAGUCUGACGGAGCGACGCCGCGUGGAUGAAGAAUGCCGAAAGGUUGUAAAAUCCUUUUAAGCCUGAUGAAUAAGCACAGUAGGGAAUGAUUGUGCGGUGACCGUAGGGCUUGAAUAAGCACCGGCUAAUUACGUG